rnacentral:misc_RNA from 1 species
AGUACUUGAAAUAGGGCCGAGUUGUCCAAUUAUCGUGUAGUCAAUCCGUAUUCCGCGUAGCCCGGGCCAUCGCACCCCUGUGAAGAACAACUCUGCUUUACCAAACAGUUUAUGCUGUGAUAAAGGCAGGAAAACAGUAUACUACUUGAGAAUUUUCAAGAAUUUCCACCAACAAAUGAUGAUCAACCAGUAAACCAGUGUGAUGACUGUUCCACCCUGCAGAAGCAGAUUGAUGACUUGUUGAAAGAGAAUGCUUCUCUUAAAGCCUGCUUUGCAGCUGCCACAGGGGAAAAGAGGAUGCACCAAACCCGGGACUAGUUGCCCCAGAGUUAGCGAAGAUGCAUCAUAUGGUAGAGUUGCUGCCAUCAACUGGCAUCUUCUUAUGUCCUAAACACGUCAGAGUGUGUCAGAAAAAGACAUCCAGUACAGCUAGGAUCGCCAGAUACCUGAUGGCAGUGUUCUGGAGUAUAGAAGACCUGAUAAGGGUGGGAAAUAUCACUGGCGUAAAUGGGAAGCCUGGCUUGGACCCACAAAUCAUCAACACCAUAGAGACAUAUUCCCUUCGGAACCGCCAGAAUACUGCAACACUUAGUGAAAUCAGAUGUGCUAUGAGAUCGAAGAUAACAGCCGUUAUUAGCAAAAACAACCAGCUGUCAUCAUCCAAGUGACCAAUUUUCUCAUGUAUGCAAAUGCUGUAGAAGGACCUAUUCUUAUCAGACAUUUAAGAAUAUUAGAAAGGAUUGAAUGUUAAUCAACUGGGUUCAAAAAUGUUGAUAAUGUGUGUACAAUGAUAUAAUUCAAUUGUCAAAGGUUUCAUUUUUAUUAUGUGUUUGUAUAUAUAUUAUAGAGUUUAUCAGUUUGU